AUUGAACGCUGGCGGCAGGCUUAACACAUGCAAGUCGAACGAGUGGCGGACGGGUGUGUAAUGCUUGGGAAUCUAGCUUACGGAGGGGGAUAACUAUGGGAAACUGUAGCUAAUACCGCGUACCAUAGGAUGAGCCCAAGUGGGAUUAGGUAGUUGGUGAGGUAAAGGCUCACCAAGCCGACGAUCUAUAGCUGGUCUGAGAGGAUGACCAGCCACACUGGGACUGAGGUACGGCCAAGACUCCGACGGGAGGCAGCAGUGGGGAAUAUUGCGCAAUGGGGGCAACCUGACGCAGCCAUGCCGCGUGAAUGAAGAAGGCCUUCGGGUUGUAAAGUUCUUUCGGUAGCGAGGCGUUAACUACAGAAGAAGCACCGGCUAACUCCGUGCCAGCAGCCGCGGUAAUAC
rnacentral:rRNA from 1 species